AGAAUAGUGGCCGAAUAUAAGGUGUUAAUCUCUUAAAUUAAUUAUGAAUAUAUUAGUUUA
rnacentral:tRNA from 1 species